CAACCUGCCUAUAACUAGGGAAUAACCUUGCGAAAGUAAGACUAAUACCCUAUGAUUUCCUUUGAUGGCAUCAGAUUAGGAAUAAAGAUUUAUCGGUUAUAGAUGGGGAUGCGUCUGAUUAGCUUGUUGGCGGGGUAACGGCCCACCAAGGCAACGUUCAGUAGGGGUUCUGAGAGGAAGGUCCCCCACAUUGGAACUGAGACACGGUCCAAACUCCUACGGGAGGCAGCAGUGAGGAAUAUUGGUCAAUGGGCGGAAGCCUGAACCAGCCAAGUAGCGUGCAGGAUGACGGCCCUAUGGGUUGUAAACUGCUUUUAUACAGGAAUAAAGUUAGCCACGUGUGGUUAUUUGUAGGUACUGUAUGAAUAAGGACCGGCUAAUUCCGUGCCAGCAGCCGCGGUAAUACGGAAGGUCCAGGCGUUAUCCGGAUUUAUUGGGUUUAAAGGGAGCGUAGGCCGUCUGUUAAGCGUGUUGUGAAAUGUAGAUGCUCAACAUCUGAAUUGCAGCGCGAACUGGCAGACUUGAGUGUGCGCAACGUAGGCGGAAUUCGUGGUGUAGCGGUGAAAUGCUUAGAUAUCACGAAGAACUCCGAUUG
rnacentral:rRNA from 1 species